rnacentral:pre_miRNA from 1 species
UGUCUUUUUCCGCUUACUGUCGCUUUGUUUGGGACGACAGGAAAGGGGAAGAGACGUA